ACACAUUUCACCAGGAUGAUAAUGAUCAGCAUAUUAUGAGUUUUCAGAUGAUAUCUCACAAGGCAUACAUUUUGUACAAAAUUUAUCAAAGUCUUGAAAAA